rnacentral:rRNA from 1 species
GACGAACGCUGGCGGCGUGCUUAACACAUGCAAGUCGAACGGAAAGGCCCUGCUUUUGUGGGGUGCUCGAGUGGCGAACGGGUGAGUAACACGUGAGUAACCUGCCCUUGACUUUGGGAUAACUUCAGGAAACUGGGGCUAAUACCUGAUAGGAGCUCCUGCUGCAUGGUGGGGGUUGGAAAGUUUCGGCGGUUGGGGAUGGACUCGCGGCUUAUCAGCUUGUUGGUUGGGUAGUUGCUUACCAAGGCUUUGACGGGUAGCCGGCCUGAGAGGGUGACCGGACAAAUUGGGACUGAGAUACGGACAAGACUACUACGGGAGGCAGCAGUGGGGAAUAUUGCACAAUGGGCGGAAGCCUGAUGCAGAAACGCAGCGUGCGGGAUGACGGCCUUCGGGUUGUAAACAGAUUUCGCCUGUGACGAAGCGUGAGUGACGGUAAUGGGUAAAGAAGCACCGGCUAACUACGUG